GCGGCGGACGGGUGAGUAACGCGUAGGAAUCUACCCAGUAGUGGGGGACAACUUAGGGAAACUUAAGCUAAUACCGCAUACGCCCUAUGGGGGAAAGCGGGGGAUCUUCGGACCUCGCGCUAUUGGAAGAGCUUGCGUUAGAUUAGCUAGUUGGUGGGGUAAUUGCCCACCAAGGCGACGAUCAGUAACUGGUCUGAGAGGAUGAUCAGUCACACUGGAACUGAGACACGGUCCAGACUCC
rnacentral:rRNA from 1 species